rfam:Pteropus alecto contig49852, whole genome shotgun sequence.
GCCUAUGGCCAUGCCACCCUGAACGUGCCAGAUCUCGGAAGCUAAGCAGAGUCGGGCCUGGUUAGUACUUGGAUGGGAGACCACCUAGGAAGACCAGGUGCUUUAAGCG